rnacentral:rRNA from 1 species
AUACAUGAGCAAAAUCUCAACUUUAUUAGAAGAGACGCAUUUAUUAGAUAAAAAGCCAAUGCAUGCUUUUACAGUAUGGAAAUUGGUGAUUUAUAAUAACUUAGCAAAUCGCAAAGUGAAAACAGGCGAUAAAUCAUUCAAGUUUCUGACCUAUCAGCUUUCGACGGUAUGGUAUUGGCUUACCGUGGCAGUGACGGUUAACGGGGGAUUAGGGUUCGAUUCCGGAGAGGGAGCCUGAGAAACGGCUACCACAUCUAAGGAAGGCAGCAGGCGCGCAAAUUACCCAAUUCUAACAGUUUGAGAGAGGUAGUAACAAGAAAUAACAAUACAAGGCAGUUAAAAUGCUUUGUAAUUGGAAUGAUAGAAAUUUAAACCCUUUUUAAAGUAUCAAUUGGAGGGCAAGUCUGGUGCCAGCAGCCGCGGUAAUUCCAGCUCCAAUAGCGUAUAUUAAAAUUGUUGCAGUUAAAAAGCUCGUAGUUGAAGUUCUGCUAAAAGUAACCGGUCUGCUUUUAAUAAAAGUGGUAUCUUGGUGUGUAUUUAGCAAUGAUGUCCUUUGAAGUGUUUUUUACUUUAUUGUAAUAAAGCAUAUUCAGGACUUUUACUUUGAGAAAAUUAGAGUGUUUCUAGCAGGCCGACGCUUUGAAUACUGCAGCAUGGAAUAAUAAG